CCUACGGGAGGCUGCAGUGGGGAAUAUUGGGCAAUGGGCGCAAGCCUGACCCAGCAACGCCGCGUGAAGGAAGAAGGCUUUCGGGUUGUACACUUCUUUUCUCAGGGACGAAGCAAGUGACGGUACCUGAGGAAUAAGCCACGUCUAACUACGUGCCAGCAGCCGCGGUAAUACGUAGGUGGCAAGCGUUAUCCGGAUUUACUGGGUGUAAAGGGCGGGUAGGCGGGACUGCAAGUCAGAUGUGAAAACCACGGGCUCAACCUGGUGCCUGCAUUUGAAACUGUAGUUCUUGAGUACUGGAGAGGCAGACGGAAUUCCUAGUGUAGCGGUGAAAUGCGUAGAUAUUAGGAGGAACACCAGUGGCGAAGGCGGUCUGCUGGACAGCAACUGACGCUGAGGCGCGAAAGCGUGGGGAGCAAACAGGAUUAGAGACCCGAGUAGUC
rnacentral:rRNA from 1 species